UACAGGGGGGGCAAGCGUUGUUCGGAAUUACUGGGCGUAAAGCGUGCGCAGGCGGUGAUGUAAGACCGAUGUGAAAUCCCCGGGCUUAACCUGGGAACUGCAUUGGUGACUGCAUCGCUCGAGUAUGGCAGAGGGGGGUAGAAUUCCACGUGUAGCAGUGAAAUGCGUAGAGAUGUGGAGGAAUACCGAUGGCGAAGGCAGCCCCCUGGGUCAAUACUGACGCUCAUGCACGAAAGCGUGGGGAGCAAACAGG
rnacentral:rRNA from 1 species